ACCAGCAAAGACUGAAGCGCGGAAGAAGGAACUACCAUGAGCGCGCAGCACCGAGGAUGGGUACGCCCAUCUGUGAAGAAGAUGGAAAUGUUCAUGGCUCUAGAGAAAAAGAACAGAGCCAUCCUGGUGAAGAGCAGCAAAAUUUUCAUUGAAAAAUCUUUACACUUCAUUUCGUCACUUAUGAAAAAUAAAAAGCUUGCAUCUCAGCAGGGACAAGCUACAUGCAAGAGAUUCUGCACAGCAUUUUCUUCCUUGGCCUAAUUAACAGACCAAGGAUAAACCCUGAAGAUGUUCUGAAUGAAGAACUUGCCUUAAAGUUAAGACAGAAAUUUCCAGAUGCAUUUCAGAUAUACAGAACUAAACUACCCUCAAGACCACCAUACUCAAUUCUGCUAGAUGUGGUAAAAGAAUGCUCAUCUUCA